rnacentral:rRNA from 1 species
GACGAACGCUGGCGGCGUGCCUAAUACAUGCAAGUUGAGCGAUGAAGAUUGGUGCUUGCACCAAUUUGAAGAGCAGCGAACGGGUGAGUAACGCGUGGGGAAUCUGCCUUUGAGCGGGGGACAACAUUUGGAAACGAAUGCUAAUACCGCAUAACAACUUUAAACAUAAGUUUUAAGUUUGAAAGAUGCAAUUGCAUCACUCAAAGAUGAUCCCGCGUUGUAUUAGCUAGUUGGUGAGGUAAAGGCUCACCAAGGCGAUGAUACAUAGCCGACCUGAGAGGGUGAUCGGCCACAUUGGGACUGAGACACGGCCCAAACUCCUACAGGAGGCAGCAGUAGGGAAUCUUCGGCAAUGGACGAAAGUCUGACCGAGCAACGCCGCGUGAGUGAAGAAGGUUUUCGGAUCGUAAAACUCUGUUGGUAGAGAAGAACGUUGGUGAGAGUGGAAAGCUCAUCAAGUGACGGUAACUACCCAGAAAGGGGCGGCUAACUACGUG